rnacentral:rRNA from 1 species
CACGUAGUUAGCCGGGGCUUCCUCCUUGGGUACCGUCAGUUCUUCUUCCCCAAGGACAGAAGUUUACGACCCGAAGGCCUUCUUCCUUCACGCGGCGUUGCUGCAUCAGGCUUUCGCCCAUUGUGCAAUAUUCCCCACUGCUGCCUCCCGUAGGAGUUUGGACCGUGUCUCAGUUCCAAUGUGGCCGUUCACCCUCUCAGGUCGGCUACUGAUCGUCGCCUUGGUAAGCCGUUACCUUACCAACUAGCUAAUCAGACGCAGGCCCAUCCUUUGCCGAUAAAUCUUUGACCAUCUGCUCAUGUAACCAAAUGGUGUUAUCAGGUUUUAAUCAUCGUUUCCAAUGGCUAUCCCUGUGCAAAGGGCAGGUUGCCUACGCGUUACUCACCCGUCCGCCGCUUUCCACUGACUCCUUCAACCGAAGUAUCUGUCAUCAGCUUCUCGCUCGACUUGCAUGUGUUAGGCACGCCGCCAGCGUUCAUCCUGAGCCAGGAUCAAACUCU